CUGCUGCCUUCCGUAGGAGUUUGGGCCGUGUCUCAGUCCCAAUGUGGCCGGUCGCCCUCUCAGGUCGGCUACUGAUCGUCGGCUUGGUAGGCUUCUACCCCACCAACUACCUAAUCAGACGCGGGCCCAUCUUACACCACCUCAGUUUCUACCUCUGUACCAUGCGGUACUGGGGUCUUAUGCGGUAUUAGCAAUCAUUUCUAAUUGUUAUCCCCCUGUGUAAGGCAGGUUGCCCACGCGUUACUCACCCGUCCGCCGCUAAG
rnacentral:rRNA from 1 species